rnacentral:rRNA from 1 species
GCAUAAUCAUUAGUCUUUUAAUUGGAGACUGGAAUGAAGGGUAGAAAUCGAGGGAAGGUUUUAGCUGGUAAGUUUGAAGUUAAAUUUAAAGUAAAAAUGCUUUAAUUAAUUCUAGGGACGAGAAGACCCUGGAAGCUUUCGAACGUAAAGUUUUUUGAUUGGGGUAAUUGAUUGAAGAUAAAGAUUUUUAAUAAGAGAGAAUGAAAUGAUUUUAAAGUUACUCUAGGGAUAACAGCGUAAUUUAAUUAGCGAGUUCUUAUCAAUAAUUGGGAUUGCGACCUCGAUGUUGAAUUAAAU